GUAAAUAUGGACCAAAACAGACUGUUAUUUUCGUCAUUUAUCGUUUAAUUAUGUGCAAUUAAGGAAAAAUUGACGGUUAUUAAUCUGGAUUGAUAUAAAGUGGGACACUGGGGAAAGUGCGUGUAUGUAAAAUAGGUGAACUUUGAUUGUAAAAUGACAUGAAAACUUGUGUGAAAAAAAACAAUGAGAAAGGUCGAAAUUGCAAAUUGCGGGUAAUUAAGUGCCUUAUUGUGAUGACAAUGUCGGGAAGUGAUUGUUGAAAGGAAAAUGUCAAAAGUAUGGGUAAUUGUCUUUAUUGCACCUUGAUGAAAGAAUGAGGUGAUACAUUUUCCAUGGUCAGGACAUUACUUCAAGGCUAAGGUGUAAUUAGCUCCACACGUCCCAUUUACAUCAACCUACACUCCUUUUAUCCUACAUUCGUUGUGAUUAUGAGUCUGAAGGACAGGAUGGAUGCUGAGAUUUUUGGCAGUCAAACGGAUGGGAGUGAAAAUCUUCGACGAUGACUCCGAGGACUACAAAGAAGUUACAAGUAAUAGAAAAAAAGUUGAGGAUGUCCUCGAAGAAGAAAUGACUGGAAUGCCAUACUCGCAAAUUUAUUAAUUUCGAACUGAUAUUUCGUCACUUUAUGAACUUUGUAAUCACCUCCAAAAUUAAACAUUUUGUGUUAUUUUUCCAUGAAAUGCAUUUUUAGAUGGCCAAAAACAAUUUUAGUAACAAAAAUUUAAUUACAAAAUGUAUUUCAUCUUU